UUAGAGAGGGUCAUUCAUUCUAUAAUUAUUCUAAUUAUAGAUUUACUCAACUCUGUUAUUCUUUUGGAUCUAAUUAUUACUCAAAAUAUUAUAUUCGAGUAAAAUGAUUGAGUCUUACCGUACCUGAUAUAUAGCAUAAUUAUAAAUUCAUAGAAUAAUAAGAAUUUGAUGAUUGGUAUUUGAGAUUUCAAAUUUAAAAUAGAAUUAUUUUAUAUUUUUAAACGAGUUUAUUUUUGAAAAAAAAGAUGAAGCGAAUAAUUUAUUAUCU
rnacentral:lncRNA from 1 species